GGCGAAUCAACUAUUCCCCACUAUCACUCGCCAUGAACUCUGCACAGAAAAGGAAGUCGAGGCCGCGCAGACAACGUGCUGCGGAAAGAGCGAGCGCUCGAGCAGAGACGUGCGCGCCGCACGGACGCGCGCCUCCUAUCGACAGGUAUUACAAUCGAAUCCUUGUGGGACAUUUGAUCUCAAUAACAUAGCAAUACCAGUACACACCCACACACAGCCACCCUUGCCCCUUGAAAGUGUGAGGCUCCCCAGAGGGCCCCGGCCUCCUGAUUGAGAGCAACUGACCUAGUGGAGAAAACCUUUUCAUUUGCUGCAGAUGAAAGCUCCAUCGCAAUGCGUAGCUGUUCAUCAAAACUGGUGGCCACAGCAAAUGCUCCCGGCGCCCGAGGCUCGGUCAGUGAGCUGUAAGACGGAGCAGGCUCUGUUGAAUGGCGAACUGGAGUAAAUUAUCAUCUUCAUCCCUCAUCGGUUCGCUGCGGCCUGGUCCAAGUGUGGUGUAUUCUGGGGGAGGCUCAAACACAGAUGGGUCGACUUCACACUGCAGAGGGGGAGGCGUCUGACCUGAGAGCAGCGAGGAGAUUGUACAGUAACAGAACUGACCGGUUCAUCGCAGCCACACAGAUUGCUGAAUGUCACUCGAGCAUUCAACACGUGGAAGAGAGGAAUUUCUAAGAAUCAGGACAAUGAGAAAGCCAGGUGGCAGGCGUAGGGUGAUGAAGUCACGCAGUUUGGCAAAGUGGGCGUUAGAAAUGGCCAUGAGGUCAAUGAUGGGCGUCACCUGCUCAGCCAGCGAGAGAGGAUGAACUUCACUC